UACGAAGGGGGCUAGCGUUGCUCGGAAUCACUGGGCGUAAAGGGUGCGUAGGCGGGUCUUUAAGUCAGAGGUGAAAGCCCGGGGCUCAACCCCGGAAUUGCCUUUGAGACUGCAUCGCUAGAAUUGUGGAGAGGUAAGUGGAAUUCCGAGUGUAGAGGUGAAAUGCGUAGAUAUCUGGAGGAACACCGGUGGCGAAGGCGGCAUCCUGGACCGGCAUUGACGCUGAGGCGCGAAAGCCAGGGGAGCAAACGGG
rnacentral:rRNA from 1 species